CCCUUAGAUGUUCGGGGCCGCACGCGCGCUACACUGAAGGACUCAGCGUGUCUCUCCCCCUAUCCCGAAAGGGAUGGGCAACCCGUUGAACCUCCUUCGUGCUAGGGAUUGGGGUUUGCAAUUAUCCCCCAUGAACGAGGAAUUCCCAGUAAGCGCGAGUCAUCAGCUCGCGUUGAUUACGUCCCUGCCCUUUGUACACACCGCCCGUCGCACCUACCGAUUGAAUGGUCCGGUGAAAUCUCCGGACUGGCGUGAGUCGGAGCAAUCUGACAAACACCGGAAAGUUGAUUAAACCUUACCAUUUAGAGGAAGGUGAAGUCGUAACA
rnacentral:rRNA from 1 species